GGUAUUUUGCUGGAGAUUGCUGCCUACCUGAGGCCUUCUGAAAGACUUAAAGCAUGGAAUAGAUAGCCUCCCUCAACAUCGCCACUGAAGUGGAGUCAGGUGGAGGGAAUGGAGCAGAUGUAGAGGUAUUGCUGGACCAGGAAACACAGAGCAGGAAGGUAGCACAAAGGAGGUCAAAGUGCAUCUGCGAGAUACAGUGUCAGCAUUUGUGCCCGGGUAAUUCCUUUGUUUUCAGUUUAUCUACUUCAUGCUGAUGUACGGAGAGAUCAAAGAACCAUGAGAAAAAGCUUUGAAAUGUGCCUUGAAAUGAAAAUAUCAGAAAUCAUAUUAAAAAAGGAUUUUAAGUGUGGAUUUUUACACUACAGUUACCAUUCUCAUAGAAAAAUGCAAGAGCAUGUUGCAAUUACAUUGCAAACGCAGUGUACAGGAACAUUAAAAAGGCUAGUAGGAGAUUAAGAAAA